rnacentral:lncRNA from 14 species
GAGGUCCGUACUGACCUCAAGCCCAAAGAUGAUGCCUCUUUUUUUCCUUCAGAGAAAGACUCCUUUGAAUGUGUCUCUAUGGUCUGGAGUCAGAGAUGAGGCAGUGGCGGCAUGCGGUACCCCAAGUGUGGAAGAGGUUUAUUGAGGACAACAGAGACCAGAAGGGG